rnacentral:rRNA from 1 species
AGUGAACGCUGGCGGUAGGCCUAACACAUGCAAGUCGAACGGCAGCACAGUAAGAGCUUGCUCUUACGGGUGGCGAGUGGCGGACGGGUGAGGAAUACAUCGGAAUCUACUUUUUCGUGGGGGAUAACGUAGGGAAACUUACGCUAAUACCGCAUACGACCUACGGGUGAAAGCAGGGGAUCUUCGGACCUUGCGCGAUUGAAUGAGCCGAUGUCGGAUUAGCUAGUUGGCGGGGUAAAGGCCCACCAAGGCGACGAUCCGUAGCUGGUCUGAGAGGAUGAUCAGCCACACUGGAACGGAGACACGGUCCAGACGCCUACGGGAGGCAGCAGUGGGGAAUAUUGGACAAUGGGGGCAAGCCUGAUACAGCCAUACCGCGUGGGUGAAGAAGGCCUUCGGGUUGUAAAGCCCUUUUGUUGGGAAAGAAAAGCAGCAGGUUAAUACCCCGCUGUUCUGACGGUACCCAAAGAAUAAGCACCGGCUAACUUCGUG